rnacentral:lncRNA from 14 species
CCCAGCCACAGCAGCUGGGCUCAAGAGACCCCCUGCCUAUGACAGUCUCAAGGCUGGGGGGGUGCUGAGUAAGGGCUGUGGAAUGGGGGCACCAUCCCCCAUGGUCAAGAUCCAGCUACAAGAGCAAGGGACCGAUGGGGGCGCCUUUGCUAGCAUCUCCUGUGCCCAUGUUAUCGCCAGCGCGGGGACGCCAGAAGAGGAAGAAGAGAUGGGUGCCACAUUUGGGGCAGGCUGGGCUCUGCAGAGGAAGGUCCUAUAUGGAGGACGGAAAGCGAAGGAAGUGGACAAAGAGGACGGUGCCCGGGCCUGGAAUGGCAGCACAGAAGGUCCAGGCAAAGUCGAGCAUGAGGACAGGGGCUCUGUGGCAUCAGGGAUUCCCGUGAGGAGCCAGGGGGCAGAGGGUCUGCUGGCCAGGAUCCACCAUGAUCGAGGAGGGAGCCGCACAGCGCUGCCGGUCCCUUGCCAGACUUUCCCAGCCUGCCACCGGAAUGGAGGUGACACCUUGCCCUCAUACUUCAUAUACAGAGAUGGGUGGGUCAGGAAUUCUCCAGGGUCUACCUUGGACUGCCCUGCCUGACACACUAUCAACUCCAUGUCUACCUUUGAAAAAUAUUUCUUGUAAUUUGAAUGGAACACAGAAGUUCCCACAGGCAAGGCAAGCUGCUCUACCACUAAUCCAUACUUCUGCCCCUCACUGGUAAAUUCUAGGCAGGGGCUCUCCCACUGAGCCACACCCCUAGCCCCUCCCUGGGGGGUUCUAGGCAGGGCCUCUACCACUGAGCCACGCCCCCAGCCCCUCACUGGGGGAUUCUAGGCAGGGACUCUACCACUGAGCC